rnacentral:rRNA from 1 species
GACGAACGCUGGCGGCGUGCCUAACACAUGCAAGUCGAGCGAGUGGAUCUCCUUCGGGAGAGAAGCUAGCGGCGGACGGGUGAGUAACACGUGGGCAACCUGCCUCAUAGAGGGGAAUAGCCUCCCGAAAGGGAGAUUAAUACCGCAUAAGAUUGUAACUUCGCAUGAAGUAGCAAUUAAAGGAGCAAUCCGCUAUGAGAUGGGCCCGCGGCGCAUUAGCUAGUUGGUGAGGUAACGGCUCACCAAGGCGACGAUGCGUAGCCGACCUGAGAGGGUGAUCGGCCACAUUGGGACUGAGACACGGCCCAGACUCCUACGGGAGGCAGCAGUGGGGAAUAUUGCACAAUGGGGGAUACCCUGAUGCAGCAACGCCGCGUGAGUGAUGACGGCCUUCGGGUUGUAAAGCUCUGUCUUCAGGGACGAUAAUGACGGUACCUGAGGAGGAAGCCACGGCUAACUACGUGCCAGCCGCCGCGGUAAUAC